rnacentral:rRNA from 1 species
AGAGUUUGAUCCUGGCUCAGGACGAACGCUGGCGGCGUGCCUAAUACAUGCAAGUCGAACGCUUCUUUUUCCACCGGAGCUUGCUCCACCGGAAAAAGAGGAGUGGCGAACGGGUGAGUAACACGUGGGUAACCUGCCCAUCAGAAGGGGAUAACACUUGGAAACAGGUGCUAAUACCGUAUAACAAUCGAAACCGCAUGGUUUUGAUUUGAAAGGCGCUUUCGGGUGUCGCUGAUGGAUGGACCCGCGGUGCAUUAGCUAGUUGGUGAGGUAACGGCUCACCAAGGCGACGAUGCAUAGCCGACCUGAGAGGGUGAUCGGCCACAUUGGGACUGAGACACGGCCCAAACUCCUACGGGAGGCAGCAGUAGGGAAUCUUCGGCAAUGGACGAAAGUCUGACCGAGCAACGCCGCGUGAGUGUAGAAGGUUUUCGGAUCGUAAAACUCUGUUGUUAGAGAAGAACAAGGAUGAGAGUAACUGUUCAUCCCUUGACGGUAUCUAACCAGAAAGCCACGGCUAACUACGUGCCAGCAGCCGCGGUAAUACGUAGGUGGCAAGCGUUGUCCGGAUUUAUUGGGCGUAAAGCGAGCGCAGGCGGUUUCUUAAGUCUGAUGUGAAAGCCCCCGGCUCAACCGGGGAGGGUCAUUGGAAACUGGGAGACUUGAGUGCAGAAGAGGAGAGUGGAAUUCCAUGUGUAGCGGUGAAAUGCGUAGAUAUAUGGAGGAACACCAGUGGCGAAGGCGGCUCUCUGGUCUGUAACUGACGCUGAGGCUCGAAAGCGUGGGGAGCAAACAGGAUUAGAUACCCUGGUAGUCCACGCCGUAAACGAUGAGUGCUAAGUGUUGGAGGGUUUCCGCCCUUCAGUGCUGCAGCUAACGCAUUAAGCACUCCGCCUGGGGAGUACGACCGCAAGGUUGAAACUCAAAGGAAUUGACGGGGGCCCGCACAAGCGGUGGAGCAUGUGGUUUAAUUCGAAGCAACGCGAAGAACCUUACCAGGUCUUGACAUCCUUUGACCACUCUAGAGAUAGAGCUUCCCCUUCGGGGGCAAAGUGACAGGUGGUGCAUGGUUGUCGUCAGCUCGUGUCGUGAGAUGUUGGGUUAAGUCCCGCAACGAGCGCAACCCUUAUUGUUAGUUGCCAUCAUUUAGUUGGGCACUCUAGCAAGACUGCCGGUGACAAACCGGAGGAAGGUGGGGAUGACGUCAAAUCAUCAUGCCCCUUAUGACCUGGGCUACACACGUGCUACAAUGGCGCAUACAAAGAGAAGCGACCUCGCGAGAGCAAGCGGACCUCAUAAAGUGCGUCGUAGUCCGGAUUGGAGUCUGCAACUCGACUCCAUGAAGUCGGAAUCGCUAGUAAUCGUGGAUCAGAAUGCCACGGUGAAUACGUUCCCGGGCCUUGCACUCACCGCCCGUCAA